GAUGAACGCUAGCGGCAGGCCUAACACAUGCAAGUCGAGGGAGAAGCCCUUUCGGGGGCAGAAGCCGGCGCACGGGUGCGUAACGCGUAUGCAACCUACCUUUCACAGGGGGAUAGCCCGAAGAAAUUUGGAUUAAUACCCCAUAAUAUUGUUGGAUGGCAUCAUCUGGCAAUUAAAGCUACGACGGUGGAAGAUGGGCAUGCGUCCUAUUAGCUAGUUGGAGUGGUAACGGCACCCCAAGGCUACGAUAGGUAGGGGUCCUGAGAGGGAGAUCCCCCACACUGGUACUGAGACAGGGACCAGACUCCUACGGGAGGCAGCAGUGAGGAAUAUUGGUCAAUGGUCGGAAGACUGAACCAGCCAUGCCGCGUGCAGGAAGAAUGCCUUAUGGGUUGUAAACUGCUUUUAUAUGGGAAGAAUAAGGUGUACGUGUACAUUGAUGACGUACCAUAUGAUAAGCUCGCA
rnacentral:rRNA from 1 species